ACGGGAGGCAGCAGUAGGGAAUCUUCCACAAUGGACGAAAGUCUGAUGGAGCAACGCCGCGUGAGUGAAGAAGGUUUUCGGAUCGUAAAACUCUGUUGUUGGAGAAGAAUGUAUCUGAUAGUAACUGAUCAGGUAGUGACGGUAUCCAACCAGAAAGCCACGGCUAACUACGUGCCAGCAGCCACGGUAAUACGUAGGUGGCAAGCGUUGUCCGGAUUUAUUGGGCGUAAAGCGAGCGCAGGCGGUUUCUUAAGUCUGAUGUGAAAGCCUUCGGCUCAACCGAAGAAGUGCAUCGGAAACUGGGAAACUUGAGUGCAGAAGAGGACAGUGGAACUCCAUGUGUAGCGGUGAAAUGCGUAGAUAUAUGGAAGAACACCAGUGGCGAAGGCGGCUGUCUGGUCUGUAACUGACGCUGAGGCUCGAAAGCAUGGGUAGCAAACAGAAUUAGAUACCCUGGUA
rnacentral:rRNA from 1 species